GUCAUUUUGGCAGCACAUAUACUAAAAUUGGAACCGCACAGAGAAGAUUAACAAGGCCCCUGCAGAGGGUGAUAUGCAAACUUGUGAACUGUUCCAUAUUAAA
ensembl:snRNA U6 U6 spliceosomal RNA